rnacentral:tRNA from 1 species
GCCAGCGUAGCUCAGUUGGUAGAGCAACUGAUUUGUAAUCAGUGGGUCGGGGGUUCAAAUCCCUUCGCUGGC